rnacentral:ncRNA from 1 species
AACCCUUGGAGAGAUCCAAGGUACUUUUAAGUUCUACUUGAAAGUACUCAUGGACGCCGAAGGCGCAAAGAAGCGGAAUGUUCACCGCUUUUCAAACGCUCAGGCAAAAGGACAGGGGCAGA